GCGCCGGGGGAGGAGGGAAGGGGUGCGGCUCGGGCCCGGGCGCCGGCUGCGGGCGUCCGCCUCAGGUAGCCGCCCCCCCCGCCCCCACACCGGGGCCGCCACCUCCCUAUAAGUGGCCCGCCGCGGUCGCCAGACCAUGGGGCGCGUGUGCAGUCUCCCGCCAUGGAGCCGGCCGAGAGCUUCCUGCUGGACAGGCUCGCCUACCUGCAGUGCGCCAUGAGCCUCCUGGGCUUCGUGCUGCUCCGGCUGCGGCGCUCGUGCUACGGGCGCUACGUGUCUCCGGGCUCCGCCUUUCGGGUGCCGGCGCGGGCCGCCUGGGCGCUGCAGGAGCUGCCCUCGCUCGCCGUGCCGCUGUGGGUGUGCACCGUCGCGGCGGCCGAGCGUCUCCACCGGGCCCCCAACCGCAUCCUCCUGGCCAUGUUCCUCGUCCACUACGCGCAACGGUCCUUGAUUUUCCCGUUCCUGAUCCGAGGUGGAAAGCCCAUGCCCUUGUACACAUUUGCUUUGGCCUUCAUGUUCUGUGGCUACAAUGGCUACUUGCAAAGCAGAUACCUGAGCCAGUACGCCGUGUAUGCCGACGACUGGGUCACAGAUCCCCGAUUUCUAGUAGGGUUCUGCCUGUGGUUGAUAGGCAUGCUGGUAAACAUCCAUUCAGACCACAUCCUGAGGAAUCUCCGGAGACCAGGGGAGACUGGGUAUAAGAUACCGAGGGGAGGCUUGUUUGAGUACGUGACAGCAGCCAACUACUUCGGGGAGGUGGUGGAGUGGUGCGGCUAUGGCCUGGCCAGCUGGUCCGUCCAGGGAGGGGCCUUCGCCUUCUUCACCGCCUGCAUCCUCUUCACCCGGGCCCGGCAGCAUCACCAUGGACCAUGCCGUGAGAGGGACACAGCAGCAGUAACAAAGUGACAGCAUCUCAGAGCGCCAUGCCGGCCGAAAGAAGCAAGACAGAAGAGAGCACAGACAGCUGUGGAAGGGUUCCUCGCAACAUUGCUGUAAUGCACCAGCCCCACACCUGCAGGACGCGCUACGGUGACAGCACUGUGUGAGACCAUCAGACACAAAUUCAACAAAAGCAGCAGAUGUUCCCACCACAUGGAGGAAGGCUUCUCAGGAGAGCCACCCAGCCAACCAGGGACACCCACGCGGAUUCGGAUGCCCAUGACCGUGGAUGGCACAUGGGUCCUGACUCAAAUGGAUGUCCAGGGUGACUUGAUGCUCGUCUCAGACAUUGAGCUGGUGGCGCUCCUUCCAUCCUUUCUGUGCUCAGCCAAGAUUCAUCCUUGGAGCCGAGACACGGAUAUGCCUAGAAGUAGAGAACAAUGAGGGGUGGUCUUGAACCACAUGGAGGAGCCAGCUGGAGGUGGUCUGCUGCAGCAUAUCAACCCCAUCAAGAAAGAUCCAGAAAGACCAUACUGGAGGAAGAGCUCCACAAAAGCCAGAGGGUCAAGGAGUUCAUUAGCUCGUCCACUCUGUCCAGACUGAGAAGGACCAGGACAGAUCUGCCCUCACGGACAGGUGGCAGCUACUGGUGUGUACGGUUGCUCAGAGGCUUAGAAGCGAAAGGUUGGGAGAUUGGUAACAAGGAGGUGGAGGGAGAGGCACAUGCUCGGACUCUCAGCAUUUUAUGCGGCAUCUUUGGAUUUCCAAAUGUAACUGAUUUGGAAGUUUCAAAAACACUGCACAGACCAAACCAUGCAUGUCCUUGGGCUUACCUCCAACCUUGGGACACUUGUAAAUUAUAAAAACAAAUGCAACAAAACAAGUGUUAGAGACCUGCCACGUUCCUGCAUUUCCCAACAAAUCGGGACAAAUCACAAAUUAGAGAUGAAAGGAGAAAUGUUUAAGUCCCUUCGUUUGGGCUCCAAAAAUUGAAGUUGGGAAUUCAGGUGAGCAGAGGAUGCUGGGCAAUGUCCCCCAUUAUCACCAGAGCAGGACUACCAUGCCCAACUACACCCAGGACACGAUACACAUCAGGUUUCUGUGACAUCAGAUACAGCUGGUUCUCGAUACUCAGUUUACAUUGGCAAAGCGGCAGCACACACCAAAUUAGCGAAGCCUAGGCCACGGCCCCUAAAGAAGAUACGGGGUUAGUUUCCUCUGAGCCUCUCGUCAUAACCUUUCCAUCAACCAAUCAAUACAUAAUUCUGCUUCCUUGUUAAUUAAUGAAUUAUUGAAGACACCUUAUUUUAUAUGUAUAUAGUCGAUCUGUUAACAUUGGAUUCACUGUCAGUAGUGCUACAGCGAGCGUCCAAACCCGCCCCUCUCUGCAGGGCCCAUCACAGCCUUCUUGCCCUAGGAUAGCUAGACAGCGUGUGGGCACUGUGUUGGGGCCCCUUGAGACAGGGAAAUCCACAGAAGGUGCUACAGCGAGGACAACAUGGGACUCUAGACUGCAUAAAGGAGACUUGGUUGUUGUUGCGGGGGGGUUCGAAAUGAGAAGGCAGAGCGCUGCUUUGUUCUCUCUCCGCUGGAAAUGAAAGCACACACUGGGUGACUCCUUUUUCCCCGACUCCGCACGUGUCCGAGAUUGUGGCCCUGUUGCCGGUGCUGACUUGGGGGUGGGGUAGAAUACACAUUUGAGCAAGCAGGUCAAUCACCGAUAUGGAAUCCUCUAGUAAGGAGGAUCGACUUGUGUGUAUGUGUGUGAAAAUUACCUGUGUAUGAGAUGGGGAGGAGUCAGGAGGCCGGCACAGACAGGUGCCAAGACCAGGGUGACAGACAUUUACACCCCCCAACACGCCACCCCCAGCUCACCCAUUACCGUGGCGACGUCCACAGACAGGGCUGGAAAAACUGAAGUCAGGGGUCACAAGUCUCAGAAGCUUCCAUCUGGUGUUAAUCCCAGGAGCGUCAUGUGCUGCGUAGAACCCACCCAGCACCCCCAGGCCCCACGGGAACUGUGCUGGCUGACUGGAGAUGGUGGCAGGCUCUGGAGAACCAGGAAACCGAUGCAUGGCGUUGCCUGUCUCGGCCCAGCUCUGCGGCUACCUUCACCAACCCUCCCGAAUGGCUAGAGGACUACAGCCUAAGCAAUCCACGUGAACGGGUUCCACUGAGACCGCACUCCUGGAAGAGCCCCGGCAUGAGAGUGAAGAAGAGGGAGUCACUCUGGGAGUCACUCACCAAGUUUGCACCUGUACUAUGACUCAGAGUCCAGACGAAAAGUUUUCUCUCAAGCGGUCAGCCCAGAGGUGUAUCACUCCUGCGUCCUGACGGAGGGAAGAAAGCUGGUAUGAAGGCUCGGGUGCCCGACAGUAGUUUUGUGCUAGAAUCCUGAAGGGACACUAAGAUGUUUGAAUAAAGGGCCAGGACCACACGCAAACCUCCUUCCUGGGCUCUCCUGUCCCCAGCUGCCCUGGUCAAGCUCUGGAGCGUAUUAAGAGAAGGGGCAAGGUCAACCAACAUCGUAUACCAACAGAUGGCCAGACUUCUUCUAGGACAGUAGACAGUUUCUCCCCCCGCCCCGAGUCUCGGAUUAUAAGCUGGACGUUAUUCUGUGCUGUUCGCAUACAGCCGUUCUGAAAGGCAGAGCUGUCUCCAGUGUCCAGCGAGGCCCUCUGACACAUGGGCUUGAGGCUGGUCUGUGACCCGAGAAAGCUGCCCGGCAGACCCCACAAGGCAUUCAGCCAGACGGGAUCAGAAAAUCCAAGUUCAAGAGAAUCGCUGUUACACGUGACCGGAGAACAGACAGCCCGGGCUAACGACUGAAGUGGGCGAAAAGCCAGUACAUCGUCUUUUCCUCAGACGUUUGAAAUACCACAUCUUUUCAUUCACUGGACUCUACAUCUGCCUGGGUCUCUUUUGCUGUUCACUACUUUGCUUAUUAAUUUACUAGACACGAGAUUCACGGGAUACUGCAUUGUUGGGAUGUGCUAUGCCGUUCAGUCUACUAUGUCUGUUGGAGUACUGUACUCUCACGUUGUUGUGUGAUACCUGGAAGGACAAGUUUCCUCCAAUUAUUUUUCUUCCAAAAUGUUUCUCUUUUUAAAAAAAUGUAAUGCUUUCAGACAUUUUCUUCCUAUUAUUUCAUGUCAUUUUUACUUUAUCCCACUUGAACUUUUAACCAAGGGAAGUGGCCAAAACAACCCCCACAACACCUUGUCCGAGUAUAAUAAAAACUCACGUUUUGGUGGCUCAAAACACUGGAGUGCGUUGGGUGAAGAUGUGCUCCUUUAAGCGAAGACAUGAGGCAAAAGUGGGGGCCUGAAAAGAGACUCCAUGUGGCUGGGAGGAGUGCAGGACUCUUGGAACAUCAAUAAUGCAUUUAUUCAUAAAAGGGAGGAGUUCGAGUGUAAAAAACAGUGGAUAUAAGAUGCCAGAUUAUACUUAAAAGGUGGAAAAGUGGUUAGAAGAUAGUACGGCAAGCACGGGGGGGUGGGAGGGUGCGUGCAUGCGUGCACGUGUGUGUCCUCGGACGCUUGGGGAGAUGCGGCAAUAGAUGACAAAUCAAAACGUAACAUGUAGGGACGCUUGCGUGGCUCAGUGGGUUUAAGCAUCUGACUUUGGCUUAGGUCAUGGUCUCGGGGUCCUGGGAUAGAGCCGAGCUGUUGGGGGCUCCACGCUCAGUAGCGGGUUGGGGGUUCUAUUUCACCCCUUCCCUCGGCUCCUCCCCUGCUUGUGCUCUCUCUUUCUCAAAUAAAUAAAUAAAAUCUUUUACAAAAAAAAAUGACAUUCAAACCUUCACCCUGAGAAUCAGAAAAGGCUAGCUCGUGAACCUGUGUUAAGAAUGAUCAAUACAAUCAUUGUUAGAAUUAAAAACCAGGAUAUGUAACUUUCAAAGACCAGAAAAUAUUGUAAAGCACCUCUCCACACUAGUGAAAAAAUGAAAUUAAAUUUAAUUUAAAAAAUGAAAAUGAAGAAACAACAAAGAAGUAGAACAAAGACCAACAUAAGAGAAGUAGGGAAAAGUAUAGCAACCAGAAUAAAAAAAUAUAAAUGAUGUAAUACCCCAGAGUAAGAAAGAAAACUUUCAGAAAGUUCCUUAAAACAAAGUACAAGCAUGUACUCUUUAUAAAUUGUGCCUACAAAAAGCUGAUGUGCUUAGGUUAGAAGUUGAAGGAAGUGUCUGAGCAGAAGGAAGCCAACUUUGUUCUAAUUCAAGAUCCUCUUGGCUAUUUUAGCAUUUUGCAUUUCCAUUUUUGGAAUCAGCUUGCCAAGCUUCACGACGCUGGAAUUUUGCUUAGGAUUGGGUUCAACCCACAGAUCAAUCUGAGAAAACUGGCGCCCUUACAAUGCUGGUUUUGCAGUCCCUGGAGAUGACGUGCCCUCCACGCACGGAGCACUUAGUUCUCCCAAGGAUGCUUUGAAGCUUUCGUCUAAAGGUCUUGCACAUAUUUUAAUGUAUCUAUUUCUAGGCAUUUGAUUUUCAUACUAUUGUAAAUGAGGCAUUUUUUGAAAUUUCAUGUUCUCCUUGUUAAUUACUGCACUGAGAAAUACAAUUGAUUUUUGGGGUGUUUUGGUUUUAUAUUCAGUAACCUCUCUAAAUUUACUAAUGUAAAUACUUUAUGUAAAUCUCUUUGGCUUGUCCAGGUACACAAUCAUGUCUUAGGCAAAUAAUGAGUUUUAUUUCUUUCUUUAUAAUUCUUCUGCCUUUUUUCCCCCUGGCCUUAUCACACACACAUAGGACCUACAAUAUAAUGGCGAAUUGUGUGGCAUCAUUGACUCAUUCCUGAUCUAUGAGGACAGCUUCAAUAGUCCAUCAUUAGGAAGUUUACUUAAAGUUUUUGUUUACAUUUUGUAUUAAAUUGAAAAUGGACCAUUUUACCCCAUGUUUUCAAGAGUUUUGGGUUUUUUUUUUUAAUGCAUUAAAUCUCAUAAAAUGUUUUAUUUUUCUGGAUCUAUCUAGAUCAUAUGGUUCUUAUAUUCUUGAUGUUAAUGUGGUAAAUUACAUAGACUUUUAAGUGUUAAAUCAGUCUUACAUUGUAAUAAACCCAAAUUUGACCUAA